UCCAACAGCCAUAUCACCCUGCAACUCACAACUGGCAUCCCACUGAUGGUCAGCAGGGGGGAGCCUGGCCAGUACCUGGAUGGGAGACCUCCUGGGAUCAACUAAGGUUCCUGCUGGAU
rnacentral:rRNA from 1 species